rnacentral:rRNA from 1 species
GUGGGGAAUAUUGCACAAUGGGGGAAACCCUGAUGCAGCGACGCCGCGUGAGUGAAGAAGUAUCUCGGUAUGUAAAGCUCUAUCAGCAGGGAAGAAAAUGACGGUACCUGACUAAGAAGCCCCGGCUAACUACGUGCCAGCAGCCGCGGUAAUACGUAGGGGGCAAGCGUUAUCCGGAAUUACUGGGUGUAAAGGGUGCGUAGGUGGUAUGGCAAGUCAGAAGUGAAAACCCAGGGCUUAACUCUGGGACUGCUUUUGAAACUGUCAGACUGGAGUGCAGGAGAGGUAAGCGGAAUUCCUAGUGUAGCGGUGAAAUGCGUAGAUAUUAGGAGGAACAUCAGUGGCGAAGGCGGCUUACUGGACUGAAACUGACACUGAGGCACGAAAGCGUGGGGAGCAAACAGGAUUAGAAACCCCAGUAGUCC